rnacentral:rRNA from 1 species
ACGGGUGAGUAACACGUGAGUAACCUGCCCUUGACUUUGGGAUAACUUCAGGAAACUGGGGCUAAUACCGGAUAGGAGCUCCUGCUGCAUGGUGGGGGUUGGAAAGUUUCGGCGGUUGGGGAUGGACUCGCGGCUUAUCAGCUUGUUGGUGGGGUAGUGGCUUACCAAGGCUUUGACGGGUAGCCGGCCUGAGAGGGUGACCGGCCACAUUGGGACUGAGAUACGGCCCAGACUCCUACGGGAGGCAGCAGUGGGGAAUAUUGCACAAUGGGCGGAAGCCUGAUGCAGCAACGCCGCGUGCGGGAUGACGGCCUUCGGGUUGUAAACCGCUUUCGCCUGUGACGAAGCGUGAGUGACGGUAAUGGGUAAAGAAGCACCGGCUAACUACGUGCCAGCAGCCGCGGUGAUACGUAGGGUGCGAGCGUUGUCCGGAUUUAUUGGGCGUAAAGGGCUCGUAGGUGGUUGAUCGCGUCGGAAGUGUAAUCUUGGGGCUUAACCCUGAGCGUGCCUUCGAUACGGGUUGACUUGAGGAAGGUAGGGGAGAAUGGAAUUCCUGGUGGAGCGGUGGAAUGCGCAGA